AUGAUGUAAUGGCAGGAAGAACGUCUCUCUGUCCCUUGCUGGUUUGUGCUUGCUGUUUCCAGCGGCCAUGAAUGGCAGCCACCUUGCUACCGUGCCGCUUGGAGCCAACUGAGUAUGGACUGAAACCUCCAACUGAUUCCUGACCACGCCCUGCCCAUUCUCACGGCUCCCCACUUAUCAGACUGCAGCUGCAUAGUGCACAGCACUGUACCAUGCACACAUUUGUGUGGCCACUGUGAGCCACUCCCUUAAUGGGUCACCAAGAAAGGCCAAAGCCACCUGACUGAGCAGAAACAGAGCGACUGUCCAGAUUACAACUGACGCAGAGGGGCACAGCAUUUCCUAUCACACUACCUGUGGAGUAUUUUGGUUUUCUCAAUGCCUGGAAUUAUUUCAUUCAUAAACUGAAAUCAGAAGUGAAUGCAGAAACGACCAUGAUUCUGUUAUUGUCACUGACCUCUUCUUUCACAUGAAGUCUCAAGAAUGUCGUGGCGAUGUGGUGGAGCUGGCUUGUACAGAGAGAAUGGAUUCAUUUCUUCCAACUCUGAGUUCAGUAAUAUCACAAACAUUGACAGUGGUGGACAUUUUUGAUGUUUGUAUGUCACCUUUGGAGAAAUGCACAUUCAAGCCCUGACCUUCAUGUUGAUUUCUGGAGUCAUCACAGGAGCUGCUGAAAAGAUGAAACUAGAUUAUAUCCAGCAAGUGUCUUCUUUUCCCUGAAAGUUUCCAUCGUUCACACAAGUCAAAUGGACACUGCUCUUCUAUUUCCGCCUGAAGCAGCUGAUACUUUGCCUGCCUGGAUUCCAUCUUCUGACAC